CAUGCUGUACAAUACUGUAUUUGAUCCAGGAAAUUAUCAGCACAAAUGCCACAGAUUAUUCAUCAGGAAAGGCAAAGCUAUCCCUACCAAUCUAAAUCUUUCCAAAUCUUUUCAUAUCUAUCAAAAACGAAUGUGCUGGAGUUGCAUAGAGUGCAUGGGGUUGUUACCAAGUUGAUAGUGUACACCCUGAGCUCUAUAAGCACGAAGGAAACUAUGCAAGUUGGACAGUCAGGUUUUGCACUAAAUUAGGACUUGCACUAAAGAAUGGAAAAACCUCCAAGCAGAUUAACUGCUGGACAUACACGUACGACAUUCAGGAGCAGGUAUAUUGUGCUGUAUCUGUGUAUGUACAGGGCUAAGAUCUGGAAGGUAGACUUCACUCUUGUCAUGAUGAUGACUUCUGAGCUCAAACCAAUGGUGCACUGUUAGUCAUGCUGUUGAAAUACCAUCAAAGCGGACAGGAAAUGUGACCCAGAGUGUCACUGCAAAGUCACCAGCUGCUGAGCAGGCUCCCAGCUCAGAGGCAUCACCCCUCGUCAGGCAGUGCCGGGCUCCCCUCACCUCCCACGGUUCGGUGCCUGGAGUUGGGCAGCACAGUGACUCUUAUCCUGUGGUCAAAUCUGCACCAAGACUUGAUGGAGGAAGAAAGCAGAAGCGGCAGCAGCAGCUUUCCUCGCCUCUGUGCUUCUCUCUUCUCUGUCAUCCCCUUCCCCUGCUGACUUCAUACAGCCACUGUCCCCGGAGCACGCUGCCUUCUUCCCACAGCUAUCAAAAUUUCCCUCCGACUUCCUUCCCUCGCCACACAAAGUUUCACUGCUUCCUCCGGCCUCACACCCGACCUCCCCUGCUAGAUCCACACAGGCCGUGCCGUUCAGGCCCUGCUUCCCAGCACCCUGGUGAACAGUCUCUAAAAGCCUCGCACCACUCAACAGGGAAUGGUUAUCUUGCCGGAAUCUGGAGCAAGGUAACACUGGUCGAGGUGGUUAUUCCGGACAGGCUGGAAGGUUCCUUGCCUAUCUCAGGUAUGGGAGGUCACAACAGAGGAGAUGGCAGUGAGGAGAGGAUAUUGAGACCAUCUCCGUAACACAGCUGACCUGCUUUCCAUCUUUUGUGACUAAACUGCCAGGAAAUUUAACUGGAAUUAGAGCUUAAAGGUGAUUUACGGUUUUCUAUAAAAUCUCUUUUCUGUAAG